rnacentral:rRNA from 1 species
CCUACGGGAGGCAGCAGUGAGGCAUAUUGGUCAAUGGGCUAAGGCCUGAACCAGCCAAGUCGCGUGAAGGAAGACGGUCCUAUGGGUUGUAACCCUCUUUUGUCGGGGAGCAACGUGGCCACGUUUGGCCUCAGUGCGCGUACCCUAAGAACAAGCAUCGGCUAACUCCGUGCCAGCAGCCGCGGUAAUACGUAGGAUGCGAGCGUUAUCCGGAUUUAUUGGGUUUAAAGGGUGCGUAGGCGGAACAUUAAGUCAGCGGUAAAAUCUCGGGGCUCAACCCCUUUAAGCCGUUGAAACUGGUGAUCUUGAGUGCGCGUGAAGUAGGCGGAAUGCGUGGUGUAGCGGUGAAAUGCAGAGAUAUCACGCAGAACUCCGAUUGCGAAGGCAGCAUACCGGAGUCCGACUGACGCUGAGGCACGAAAGCGUGGGGAUCGAACAGGAUUAGAUACCCUUGUAGUC